rnacentral:misc_RNA from 1 species
UUCGCUUGGCUGAUAUUAAUGCCGUCUUCUUCGAUUUGGACAAUACUAUCAUCGAAACGAGAAAAGCAGACAGUCGCACUUGUCGAAAGCAACGUCCGCGGGUGCUACUUCGAGUGUCCACUAAUCGGCUCGAGUAUUUCAAUGAAUCAAUGCAUUUUCUAGCUGGCUGAGGAGCUGACGCAAGAAUAUGGAAUUCCUGAAGAAGUAUCCAUUAAAAUAACGACUACAUAUUUGAAGCUAUUCAGAAAAUGUCCAGAUAAUUGUACCUGCUCGUUAGAUGUUUGGCGAAUGAUAUUAUGGAAUAAAGCAUUAGGAGAAAAGUAUUCAUAUUUAGCCAAAAA